AAAACUGUGCCGAACUGUAAUCUUAAUCAGAUAACUUUCGGAUUUUAUUUCUCACUCUACGGGUGUCAGAAUGAUAUGAAACUUUAAAUCUAGCCUCAUAAAAAUAUUUCUGACAUACCCUCCAGUUUUCAUAAUUUUCUGACACUGUGCAUUUUCUGCUAAUCUAUCUGCCCCCUUUUCCACAGAAAAUUCUAAAUUUUAUAUUUUCGCUCCGAUUUCAGCACAGGUCAUUCCUAACCCAUAUUCCACUUCUCUAAAUCCAAUAAAAUAGUAUCCCAUACUAUUUUUAUUUAUUUUCACCUUUAUAUUUAAAAUCCGGUAUGUUACAUUCCGCCGCAACCCCACCGGAACCAUUUAAAUGUACACCGUAACUUCAUAGUUUUAGAAGUCCGGUACCUCACAUUCUCCUCUCCUUAAAAGAGUUUCGUCCUCGAAACUAACUCACUUCAUAUCCAAACCCCGACCCCAAUUCGACUUAUUGAGUCAUCGAGGGUUCCAAUGCACUUUCGUAUCUCGAAGUGGCCUUUUACUCAUCGGGACUAUCCAAGGGCCCACUAUAGAGGACGUGAGACCAAUUUCACUCACGUUCGCUAAGCGUAACACCGAAAGUGCAUUACUACCUCCGCAAGCCUCGAUGGCAGCGCGAGUCGACAUUCGACGACUCCUCACUCUCCAACAUCGCUCGCACAAAUUCAGGGAAUACACUCCGAUUAGAUCACCGUUGCUUAAAAGCAAGAUCGUUGGUGCAUCGACCCCUCGGAAGUGCUCCAGUCCUCAACCGGAUCCUUGCUCUACUGUGAGAUGGCCCACUUUGGCACAUCUCAAAUCUCAAUCCUCACGUGGCUUUCCAUAAUCCAAGUGUCUCCUAGAGACCACUUUACUUUCUCUUUCAAUUGCCACGGCCAACAUUAAUUUGCUUUCGCAACGAGCUCACACGAACACCCAGUUCGUGAAUCUAAGCCAAACGCCUCGACAGAGUUAUCGGCCAAACCGAUCACCUCGGUUUCCACAAGUGAACCACAAGUCGCCAACCCUACGUCGGCCUAACACUUAAACCUGUCUCAACGACACAUAGCGCCUCUCGCUCGCUAGCGUUGACCCAAUCAGCACUGGGCGAAAUUCUCACUUGGGAAUUCGCACACACUCCACGAGUAUUUAUCCUCGGGCGCUCUACACACCGCACACUAAGUCCAGCAUUAGGCAACCUUGCCUAUGCAAACCGGCCACACGAGCACGACUCGCCCACCUCAAUUCGAGGUACUAUUAGGCCCACAGGCCAAACUCAGCACUAAUCAACCACGUUCGAAACAGUGAUUCACCUUCACUGUUCGAUCUACCAGAUCUAUAUCCGAACUCUCGGACUGCUCAGGGACAUCAGCUGUCCCCACCCACGCCGAUCUAAUAAGAUCGCUCACGCGACGCCAUCAUGUCCUAAAACGCGACAACUCGACUGGUUCUCGACCCUCCAGGUCAAGUACGAAGCAACCAACACCGACUCAAAUCGGGCGAAAGUCACAUAAGAGCGUCUAUUCUCAUCACCCGGCUUCAUGUUGGGUGCACCCAACAUGAACACCCUCGGUUGAGAAUACACCACACUUUGAGUUUACCUCUAACGUCCGUCUUAGAGGUUUCACUAACUUGACCCAAUCGAUUCAACUUCCGCCUCGUCAUAGGUUCACGUCGCACUCACGCACCUAUAACCUUAGGAUUCACCAUCCUAGGGUCUCCUAGGUCCAUCCUAGACUCUCUCUUUGCUUACUCUUAACUCGCUCUGAUACCACACCUGUCACGCCCCGCCCCGAGACCGCUACCAAUUUGGCACGAUUUGGGCGCGGCGGGUGUGGCGCCGAACGGACAGCACCUCCCCUGUCCGCCCAAGGCUAAAGCGACGAGAUCAUGUACAACAAGUUUCCAAGAAAACAACUUGAAUACAUACAUGAUCAAAGACAACAACGAGAGCACAACCAGUGCUAAACAUACAAAGAGUAAGCAUCACAAGUAGAAUCAUACAAGUGAAAAAAAGAUAUAUAAACUAACUAUUACAUCACGUUUGGCAUUCAACUUUGAUACAUUUAACCUCAUUUAAACUUUGAUAUAGUCAUUACAACUUUGCUUCCUUUUUCCAAAAUGUAAAUACAUAUAGUCACUCUCCAACCUCACCCUAUACAUCAUCUACUCUCGGAUAUAAACAUAGGGUGAACUAAUGCAAAAUAGGAAGUAAGCUACUAUCAACACUAGGGCGCUAUGCCCUUACCACAGUCCUCAGCCGCUGCUCUCUCGCGUGUACCUGUACCCCAAACCACACGGGGUGAGAACUGUAUAAAUAUAGUUCCCAGUGGGUUCGGCCGCUAACUCCGCCGAUCUUCCCACUAGGUCUAAGCAGGCAUAGGAAGACGAAGACAGAUAGAUAGAUAUAUAUGAAAGCAGUAACGAUAAAGCAUAAUAUAAAAUGAUGCUAAUGUCCAACUAUGCCUCAAUCCAAUGCAAUGAAUGCGUGCACUACAUAGUAAAAAGCCAACUACUAUGCUACUAUGCUCAACAAGGUUACUUGUGUCACAUUGGUGAGGAUCCGCUCACUCACCCGACUCACACUCUAAACACAACGGGGAGGAUCCGCUCACUCGCCCGACUCACGACACACACACAACGGGGAGGUCCGUUCACUCACUCGACUCUCAAUUUAAACACAACGGGAAGGAUCCGCUCACUCGCCCGACUCACGACACACACAACGGGGAGGAUCCGCUCACUCGCCCGACUCUCGAACUCAAUCUAGUGGAAGAGGAACCGCUCACUCAAGGUGAGAACUACUCACUCAACCAUCUGUCGAUCUCGUGGAAAAGGAACCGCUCAACCAAGGUGAGAACUACUCACUCAACCAUCUCUCAGUCUCGUGGAAGAGGAACCGCUCACCCAAGGUGAGAACUACUCACUCAACCAACUCUCAGUCUCGUGAAAAAGGAACCGCUCACCCAAGGUGAGAACUACUCACUCAACCAAGACCGUCUGCAUGGCCCAAAAAGGCUAACCCCUCGGGACCCAAAAAGGCUAUCCCAAUCGUGUGACAACUCCGGAGUGCACUGCUUGUGUGGAGCGACCACACCAAGCUUCGAACAGACAUUGCUGUAUGAUCAAAUCCCCAUCAUUGAGGAUACCCUACCACUUAGACAACAUCACUUGGGAACUGGUUCACCACUAAGUUCAACAUAAAACAAAUGUUUUCUCUAUACUUUACCAAUCAUGCAACUCAUCAAGUUUAACUAUUAACUAGAUGCCACUCGUCAAGUUUAACAUUCUCAACACUAGUUAUUCUUUACUAGGCUCAACAUUCAUAACACCAGUUGGAUCACACUAGGUUUUCAUCCACAUGAACAUCAACCAUCACAUAUAGGGUUAACUACUUCAAGCUCAACUCAUGCAUACUAGGUUCAAUGCUAUAACCAUAAAGCCGACUCACACUAGCAUGCAAAUAAUGUAUAUAAAGCAUCUUUAAUACCCUAUAUGCAACAUGUACCAAUAUGCAUAACUGAUCGAUAACUGAACUUAGACAUAGGGAGCAGCCCAGCUGCUUCGGGAUGGCACUCCCCCACCUUUUACAGCGUUCCGAUUGCUCGUCGUCACUUGCAAUCGGCCUCCCUCGACGCUCGGCACCCGUUUGGGCCCGAUCUCACAGUUGCACUCCAAGAGCGCUCCGCUUCGCCGUUUCAAGUGCACUAGCUCUUCGGUUAUGUGCCACGAUGCCUCAAAUCCAUUUUCACGAUUUUACGACGUCGCCUCGGCCCUCCCGGCGGACCCGAAGCCUAAACGUCCAUUUCUUUAAUAACUUUGUAACGGCUCGUCGGAUUGCCGAACCGUCUUCGCCAACGCGUUCGUUUACCUAGCAAUUAGGUUUACAUAGGGCCAAUUUAGAUCAAACCCAUACAUUUUAUAAAAUCCCAAAAUUGGAGCCCUAACAUGCUACUAUUGCAAUAAGCUUCAAAAUUGAUUCAUGAUUUAAGCAAUUAGCAUGUAGAUAUCAUAUAGAGAGUCCUCUAAACCCAUUCCUAGAGCAUAUAAUUAAAGCUCUAAGGUUCUACCAUUUUUAAAAACCUAGCCUCUACACAUGCUCCAAGUAACCCAAAUUAAAUGGAUUCAACAUGCUAAUCAACACAUUAGAGGCUAUUAGAACACUAAGCAUUAAGGAUUAAGCCAAAUCCCAAAAACUUACCUCAUUGUGAACACCACGGCGAGAACACGCUGCUCCAACGGCCGCGCAAAAGCUCGAUCCGUCGCUCCCAACGCGUUCGCAAGCAUCAUCUCCACCAAUCCCGCGAAUUUGAGCGAGAAAUAUAGAGAAAUGAGAGAGAAAUCUAGAGAGAGAAAGGAGGGUUUCUCUCUCCCUUCUCCAUGCGUGCGUGGGUGUGGGUGUGCUCGGGCUGAAGGAGAAAGAAGAAGCACAUUGCUUCUUAUAUACUUUAACACCCAAAACACUAUUCACUUCAGGCAGUUUUUGCAGUUCGGAACAGUUGGAGCCCUUUUGAAUGUCCGUUUGAGCUUAAAUUUGACAGACAGGCUCAGUUUAAUAUACUGAGUAAGAAUAUAUUUUAAGUUUUUAGUUUCGACCCCAUUUGGUCACCGAAAACUGUGCCGAACUGUAAUCUUUAUCAGAUAACUCUCAGAUUUUAUUUCUCACUCUACGGGUGUCAGAAAAAUAUGAAACUUUAAAUCUAGCCUCAUAAAAAUAUUUCUGACUUAUUCUCCAAUUUUUAUAAUUUUCUGAGACUGUACAUUUUUUGCUAAUUUAUCUGUCCCGUUUCCAACAGAAAAUUCUAGAUCUUCUGUUUUCAUUCUGAUUUCAGCACAAGUCACUUCUGACUUAUGCUUUACUUCUCUAAAUUCAAUAAAAAUAGUUUCUUACACUAUUUUUAUUUAUUUUUAUUUUUAUACCAAAAUCUGGUAUGUUACAUUAUCCACCCCUUAAAAAGAAUUUCGUCCGCGAAAUUUAAACCACGCCUCAAUUUAGCUCCGCGAGCAAUUGAGGGUACCAACUCAUUCCCCCACUCCAAAGCGGCUUCACACUAUCGUUGUUCCAGAAGCGGCUCAUACUGAAAAACGUGGGUUUAAUCCUAAACUCAUUUGCAAAGUGUGAUACAAACGUGCAUCACGGAUCUUGCAAGUCAUAGUGGCAGCGCAAGUCGGUACUCGACGACUCUACGCGCUCCAACACCACUCACCAUUCGGUGCACAAAGAACUCUUCUUUGCACUUACCUUUCCUUCAGGGAAUACAUUCUGAUUCGAUCACCGACAUUGCUUUGGAACAGUAUCACCGAUGCAUCGCUUCGUCAUGAGUGCUCUAAUUUCGCACUGACCCUUAACUUUAACGUGAGAUGGCCUAUCUUAGCACAUCCCCAAUUCCAAUCCUUCAACUUCACGUGGCUUACUACUAGCUCAAGGUCUCACCAAAAGCAUUUCAUUUCUGAUAUCACAUGCCACGGUCAACAUCGAACUAUUUUCGCAACGAGCUCACACGAACGCUUCGUUCGUGAAUUCGAGUCAAACUCCUCGAUAAGGCUAUUUGCCAAAUCGCUUUCUUUGGUCUCCACAGGUGGACCAUAGGCCACCAAUCCUACGUAGGCUUACCGCCUAAACCUGUCUCAAUACGCAACGUCUCUCGCUCGCAAAUGCAGACCCAAUCAUGAUCGGGCGAAAUUCUCACUUGGGAAUUCGCUCACACUCCAACCAGGAGCAACUAAGAUCCCAAACCGUUACAGAUCCCCGGGUUGGGUCACACUCGUACUCUCGGUAUUCUAUCAAUCGCACGACAUGCUCUACCGAGUCACACGUACCACUACCGGCUACUAUACACCUAAUGCGAGUCACAAGCCCUACGAGUGAUCCAUGACACGCUUCACACCUAGCAAUGCUCGAGUGCUACUGCCAACACACUCACUCGGCUGAUCCAUAUCCGCACUCCACGAGUACCUAUACUCGGGCGUCGCACGCUACUAUAGCGUUCCUUACUAAGUCCAGCAUUAGACAACUCUUACCUACGCACGUCGACUUUACGAGCACGACCUUCCUACCUCACGUUGAGGUACUACUAGGCCCACAUGCUAAUACUUGGCCAUUAACCGAUUGUUCCGUCAACAGUGAUUCACUUUCACCAUUCGACCCACCGAAACGACAUCCGAAAUACUCGGACCACUUGGGUGUUCUCAAAUACCACGGCUCAACUCUCGCAAUCUACUAAUUAAGUUGCUCUGAGAGUCGAUUAGCCACCUCUGUCUCUACCGCGAGUUUCACUUCUCGCCAAAGGUCACUACUAGCACUUCGCUAGUGCCUUCUGGCUCUAUACCUAUACUAGCAGGUACUACUCCCUCACAACACGAGCAUGCCCGGGUAUCUAUACUCACCCGUCCACUCGGUCUUCAACCUGGGUCACGUAUCUACGGCCACCCGACGCUUGCUGCGAACCUUUAGGUUGCAUUGUCCUCAACGCCCUCUCUCCCGACCAUGCCGCAGAUGGCACACCUACAGGCCAUCCUAGAGAGAAAUAGGCUGUCGCCAGUGUCAGGCCCCGGCUGUCACCUUACAGACACUCGUCCCGCGCACAGCCCGGUUGCCCACACCUGUAGCACUUGCCCUCUCACAGCUUGCAAUACUAUGGGUAACGAAAACACCCACAAACGACACAUCUCACUAAGGACCGAACACAGUAGGUCCCCGGAACUCAGAAUCACGAGCGCGAACACAUUGCACUCAGUUGAAAACUUGACGGACUACUGAAUCCACUCAUUGGCCGUCCUAUUUUCUUUUUCCUUGCAAAUGGACUCACGCUCCCUUCGCACAAUUGCACUGCCUUGUUCUAUCCACAAGGCCUAAUCCUCAAAGCUCCUCUAAUCCUCCUCUUUAGAAAAGCUCCUGGAGAGUGAGAGAAGAAAGAAUAUGGAGUUGAAGGGGUACUCCUUGCUGUGAACAAGGAAAGAAGGGGUGUGGGGUUUAUACAAACCGCCACAACUACAUUUAAACCCUCCCCCCCCCAACAUUUCUCAUUUGCAGCAGAUCUCAACCUACUGCCAGACCCAUCGUGUACCGGUACACGGGCUUUUGUACCGGUACAAAGCUGUGCAGAAGCAAACCCGAGAGCAUCCUCCUCGAAUUUUACCAAAGGGUACCGGUACAAACCAGGGGUGUACCGGUACACUUCUACAAAAACUCAAACCCUAGAGCAAUGCUUUUCUCAAGCCGCUUGCUGUACCGAUACAACCAUCAACAUGUACCGGUACACUUUCCUCCAGAACGUAGUUUUAGCUUGUUUUCGACUCCAACUCGCACCGAUCGAUGCUAAAACUAUUCUAACUCUUUUAGAGCCCAAUUUUUAUCCCUCCAACAUCGUCAGAAUGUCAAUUGGACUUUAUCCAACUAUUUCUCUCAACGCACUUUGGUCAAUUUGACUAAAGUUUGAUGUUUAUUUACCGAAAUUUCGGUACGUUACAUUCUCCCCUCCUAAAAGGAGUUUUGUUCUUAUUAUCCCGCUCUAUGUCCGGGAUGCAAUUCACGACACGGGAGAAUUCCCGCUCGUAUUCCCUCACGGCGCGGUCUACCUGCCGCAGCUUCGAGAACCUUUCCUGAAGCUUUCUUUUCCNNNNNNNNNNNNNNNNNNNNNNNNNAAUUUGUCACGCCCCGGGGUCCCUUUAGGUUAAAAACACAGCGGAAAAUUUUUUUUUUUUUGCAAACCUGACCCCAGGGUAUGCCAGAUCCGCCACAAAUACAGGGAAUCCACUGUUCACACGGACAGAGUCUCCCCUGUAUUUGCACGGCGUCGCACAAGUACAAGAGUAUAGCCAGGAAACAACCACAACCAAAUGAAUAUAAAGAAUACUAUACAUUCAUACAUUCACCAUUCACAUCACAGUUUUACAUUCAGUGGUUAAAUAGAAAUUCACGAAAAUUCUUUUGAAAACUGUUCCCCACACGGAAACCUUUAAUCUUUAAGAAACGCUACCACGAGGGGUAGAAAACCUUUAGUUCAAGAAAACACAAUCCUUUAUUACAUUCCAAAAUCAACUGAAAACUCAGAUAUUCAAAUUAUAAAACAAAACUGAACCAUGUAAACCGACUAAGCUAUACAUAUCCACAGAAAUAAAAGGGUAAUAGCUAAAUCGAAAUAACCUGGGUCGGAAGCUCUAUCGAUCGCUACACACGUACCUCACGUCUCGUCCCACUACUCAACGCCCACGAUACCUGAAAAAUGGUGGGGGAGGUGAGAACAUGUAAACAUGUCUCCCCUCCCAGUGGGUACCGCAAGCCGAAGAAGGCGAGGAGUACUCACCGGAUCAGGAAGAGAUAACCAACAGUAUGGAUAAGUAAAAUACAAUAGCAACGAUAAUGAACGAGCGAGAUAUAUAUAUAUGAAAACACAACUACCGCUACUGUAAUGUACAACUGCAAGCAUACAAGGAUAUCAAAACUAUAGUAGCAAGAUAACUGUAAAGAAAGAAUUAGAAGUAUAUAUGCAACAACCGCUACUAUAGCUAUAUGCGUCAACCGGACGAGAAGUCCAAAAGUACCGAAUCUGAAACCAAUGCUCUCUUGGUCAGCACCGCAGACCUCAAGCCAAUGCCCUGGAGGUCCGCACCGCAACACCUCCCGACAGUACCACUGCCGAUCUAACAUGCAUAUAACCCCUCUAGGGCUCACGGGUUGUCACCAUUCAACCACUUUUCCGGAAAAGAACACUCCUUGCGGUGGAUCAGACCGCCAGUGUUCGUGAAAUGCAACGAGUAUCGGGCGAUCAAUGCAAUAUGGUCAAUGAUCAACCGUCGGCAACCAGCCGACAAUCCUGCCCCCCAGGGCCUAUCGACCACAUAGGUCAUCACUGUAAAGAAGCACAAGAACCGACCACUCAGGUCAACUAGGAUGGAACAACUCAACACCCUACCAAAAGUAUGUAGAUACUGAUCAAUAGGUCAACUACUAUAUAUAUGCAAGAAUCGAUCAACAAGUCAUCUGAGUAUAUAAUCUAGAACUACCGUCGGCCAUAGCCGACAAUCCUACCCUUCAGGGUACACCGACCUCAAAGGUCAUCGACGAUGGAGUACAAGAACUGACCAACCAGGUCAACAGAUAUAAGAUAAAAGCACCGAUCAACUAGGUCACUGAAACGAAGUACGAGAACCGACCAAUCAGGUCACCGAAACAAAGUACGAGAACCGACCAAUCAGGUCACCGGUAUCACAUAUGGAUAAACUACUCUACUCCUACACAUGAUACUAAGCAUAGAAAUACUCAACAAUAGAAAAAUAUGAUAAGGGAUAAUAGAAAAACCGGGAUGCAGAAGCUCAAUAUGAUACCAUACAGUAAUAGCACACGCAAGAAACAGGGAAUAGAAAGAGACAAUCACCGAGCGUUCGCACGCACUGUACCCUUAGACGUCGGAUCGAAGUACGCAUCACCAUCCACGUUUUCCUGUAAAUAGUACUCGGAUCAGAUCUCUAGACCGACGAAACCGCAGGGAAACAGGAGCAACUCCGGACCUACAAGGGUUCCACAAAUCAGAAAAAGGAUGACCCUAAUGUAGAAAACUAACCAAUAAUUAAAAUCCCCCUCAGAACAAAGGAACAAAGGGAAAUCGGUCGGCUAAAGAACGAUUGCCAAAUCACAACGUCGGGAGAAUGUUGACCCUCGAAUAUCCAGCCGCGCAGGGCUCGCCGUCGGGGUCCAAGUACUUAUCCACCCGGAACUGCCCCCAACUCCAACGUUGGAGUCACCACCGCUGCCCCGACUCUAAUACCUGAAAACUACCCAGCAUUGGCAUGCUAAACACGCCCACACUGAAAGUCGGCCUCGGAACACGACAUUCUGUUGAAAAAUAAACUCUCGAAAGCCGGGUUCCCUAUCGAAACGGGUGUCGUGUUUUUGACACCGAUCCCCCGGAACGAUAUCGGGGGCCUGCCACGCAGUCGCCAUAGGCAUAUACGUUGCGACACCGGAAACAUACCAUGCAUGCAAGAUUGAAAACUAGUUUAUAGACGACUAAUGUCGGCACAGCAGAAGGGCCCUCAGACCUUAAACAGCUUUAAUGUGCACUAGUUUACCUCAAACACUACGAAGAAGAGUCAGCCGUCGUUUCUCUUGUACAUAAGCUUUUCGCCUAUGACACCCUGAAACGACCCGGGUGACCUGCCAGAAGAGGCUUAAGCGACAUCACAAUAUGAGAUUCCGAGNNNNNNNNNNNNNNNNNNNNNNNNNNNNNNNNNNNNNNNNNNNNNNNNNNNNNNNNNNNNNNNNNNNNNNNNNNNNNNNNNNNNNNNNNNNNNNNNNNNNNNNNNNNNNNNNNNNNNNNNNNNNNNNNNNNNNNNNNNNNNNNNNNNNNNNNNNNNNNNNNNNNNNNNNNNNNNNNNNNNNNNNNNNNNNNNNNNNNNNNNNNNNNNNNNNNNNNNNNNNNNNNNNNNNNNNNNNNNNNNNNNNNNNNNNNNNNNNNNNNNNNNNNNNNNNNNNNNNNNNNNNNNNNNNNNNNNNNNNNNNNNNNNNNNNNNNNNNNNNNNNNNNNNNNNNNNNNNNNNNNNNNNNNNNNNNNNNNNNNNNNNNNNNNNNNNNNNNNNNNNNNNNNNNNNNNNNNNNNNNNNNNNNNNNNNNNNNNNNNNNNNNNNNNNNNNNNNNNNNNNNNNNNNNNNNNNNNNNNNNNNNNNNNNNNNNNNNNNNNNNNNNNNNNNNNNNNNNNNNNNNNNNNNNNNNNNNNNNNNNNNNNNNNNNNNNNNNNNNNNNNNNNNNNNNNNNNNNNNNNNNNNNNNNNNNNNNNNNNNNNNNNNNNNNNNNNNNNNNNNNNNNNNNNNNNNNNNNNNNNNNNNNNNNNNNNNNNNNNNNNNNNNNNNNNNNNNNNNNNNNNNNNNNNNNNNNNNNNNNNNNNNNNNNNNNNNNNNNNNNNNNNNNNNNNNNNNNNNNNNNNNNNNNNNNNNNNNNNNNNNNNNNNNNNNNNNNNNNNNNNNNNNNNNNNNNNNNNNNNNNNNNNNNNNNNNNNNNNNNNNNNNNNNNNNNNNNNNNNNNNNNNNNNNNNNNNNNNNNNNNNNNNNNNNNNNNNNNNNNNNNNNNNNNNNNNNNNNNNNNNNNNNNNNNNNNNNNNGCGUGGCGGCGGUCGGAGGAGGUCGGGGCGGCGACGGUACGUCGGCGGAGGUCGAGGAGGAGGUGGUGCGCCCCACUGUGGGCGGCGGCGACGCGCGGAGGCCACUAGGGCUCCGCCUCGGCCCGCACCAGGUCUGGGCGGCUGCAGGAGCCGCGAGCGGCGGCCGGCGGCCUCGGGGACGGCGAGAAUCGCGAGCGGGAGGUCCCCGGAGGUGCCAGGAGGGCGGCGUGGCCAGACCAGAAAGGCGGCAUCGCGAGGGGAGGGAGGUUCCACAGCCUCGGCCAGAUCUGCUCAGAUCUGGCCGCAACUUGCCGUGGCGGCGGCGGCGGCUCGGGGCGGCAGGAACGGCGCCGGGGGGGGAGAUUCUGCCAGAGGGUGGUGGUGCUCGGGCUCACAGGCUUCCCCGAGCACAGCAGCCAACAAGAUGCAAGUUGGGGCCCGGAGGAAAAUCGAGAGGAGGUCGGGGUGGUUCUUCCGGCGGCCGGACGAGCUCGCCGGCGGCCGGGACGCGCGCACAAGUUGGGCGGGGACUAGCUGAGGUCGGCUAGGGCUAGGUAGGGAACACGGUUGCCGGGUCUAGGGUUCCUCAUGGAUGAAACCCUAGGAAACAAUAUAAACAACGGCCACUUUGCACCAAAGUCCUCCGAAACAGAAAAUUUCCAACGGAGACCUUCACAGCGCGAGUAAAUCGCGUGUACGCACCACCACGUUCGACCUCGUGCGAUUCGGUACAUCAAAUAUGGGGACUUUUGCGAAGAUACUGUUUUCCCUACACCGACCUCUUCUCGAUCAACGCGCAAUCUCCGCAGAUCCGUCCGUCAGAUUUGCGAACGGAUUGCACCAGUGCAAUCAGCACCUCGGAGACAACAAAGCUACACUUUCGUUUCAUCUCGAUCGACCACGGAUUCACGACAAAAUCCAACCUUCUUCCAAAAGAAGGAAUCACAUNCACGAAGCACCGUCGGAAUAAUUCCGAACCGAACCCGCGUUCCGUCGGCGGAUUUCGCCGAAAAACGCACCGGAAAUGCAUUUCCGAUCUUCGCAAGGGUCUGGGGCCUUGGACAAUCAGUCCAGAGGUUAUCCUCAACCCACACUUGCUGCCAACAGCAGCUAUGACGAACCAAAAUGCAUAAAAGCCCUCCAGAAUACCUGAAAUCGCAUUAUUUCAUGCGAUUUCGGCGCUUUUAUGGUCCGACAGCGCAAACCCGAGGUCAAACAGCCAAGACGAGACUUCUGCUGACUGGUCUCGGCGUGCCGGAGGCCGUGCUCACCUUUCGGAGCACUGCCGGCCACUGUGGCACGCGCACAGGCGACGCAAAAUUAGAGAAACAGCGCGCACAGGAGGAAAAGCAUGCCUAUCUCGCUAACCAGGGGUUCGUCGACCCUAAGUGAGGUGAACACUGUGAUCAGGACUGACUGACGAUCACCGUGCUCACCUCCGGAGGCAUCGGAACAGCCUCGGGUCGCCGGAACAGUGAGAAGAACAGAAAACACUGCGCAGAAAGGCUGAAAUCCAGCUUACAGAGCUAGGCAGGGCACGGGGUGGCCGGCGGCGGCCGGACGGCGGGCAGGCCGGCCAGGGGUUGGUGCGGCAGGUCCGAGGUGGCCAGGACUGGCGUCAGCAGGCGACGGGAGGCGACGGCGACGACGGCCAAUGAUGCCCUAGGCACCCAAACCCGAAGAGAACACGGCUCGCUUCGGCCGACGGGGAGCUUCGGCGGCGCAAGCGACGACGGCGGACGAGUGCGCCCGACCAGCCGGGACCCGUGCUCACGCCGUUCGGCGGCGGAACGCGGCUGCGGCGGUGCUGGACCAAACCGAGCCCGCGCGGGUUCACCAUGGCUCCAAAGGUAGCGGCAACCAUGGCGGCGGCCGGAGGAAGGUCGGGGAGACGGCGGCACGUCGCCGGAGGUCGAGGAAGGUCGGCGCGCCAUGCUGCGGGUGGCGGUGACGCGCCUAAACCGAGGUCACCCAAACUCGGCCUGGGCGCAUGCAGGUGGCCGCAGAGAGCUGGGGCGGCUCCGGCGGCGUGUGCUGACGGUGGGGCCGGCGGCGGAGGAGGUCGGGCAGCGACGGUACGUCGGCGGAGGUCGAGGAGGAGGUGGUGCGCCCCACUGUGGGCGGCGGCGACGCGCGGAGGCCACUAGGGCUCCGCCUCGGCCCGCACCAGGUCUGGGCGGCCGCAGGAGCCGCGAGCGACGGCCGGCGGCCUCGGGGACGGCGAGGAUCGCGUGCGGGAGGUCCCCGGAGGUGCCAGGAGGGCGGCGCGGCCAGACCAGAAAGGCGGCAUCGCGAGGGGAGGGAGGUUCCACAGCCUCGGCCAGAUCUGCUCAGAUCUGGCCGCAACUUGCCGUGGCGGCGGCGGCGGCUCGGGGCGGCAGGAACGGCGCCGGGGGGGGAGAUUCUGCCAGAGGGUGGUGGUGCUCGGGCUCACAGGCUUCCCCGAGCACAGCAGCCAACAAGAUGCAAGUUGGGGCCCGGAGGAAAAUCGAGAGGAGGUCGGGGUGGUUCUUCCGGCGGCCGGACGAGCUUAGCCGGCGGACCGGACGCGCCACAAUUUGGAGCUCGGAUGGACAUCAGCUGCAGGUCUGACUCAGCGCUAGGUAGGGAAAACACGGUUGCCGGGUCUAGGAUCCUCAUGGAUGAAGCUCCCUAAGGAAACAAUAUAAACAACGCCACUUUGCAACCAAAUCCCCGAAACAGAAAUUUCCAACGGAGACCUCACAUCGCGCGAGUAACAAUCGCUGUACGACACCACACGUUCGACCUCGUGCGAGUUCGGUACAUCAAAAUAUGGGACAUCUUUUUGCGAAGAUUACUGUUUUCCCUACACCGGACCUCUUCUCCGAUCAACGCGCAAUCUCCGCAGAUCCGUCCGUCAGAUUUGCGAACGGAUUGCACCAGUGCAAUCAGCACCUCGGAGACAACAAAGCUACACUUUCGUUUCAUCUCGAUCGACCACGGAUUCACGACAAAAUCCAACCUUCUUCCAAAAGAAGGAAUCACAUACACAAAUACAUAUAAAACAUGUAUUUUUGGAUUUUCUCGAAAUCCGUGUGUCAAACUCAAAAUCCGACAGUGCCACUAGUUCCAGAACUGCUGAACCGGUCGAAACGAGCUAUUGGACUGAUAUGAACAGAGUCCGAUACGCACCAGAAGCCAACUCUACUCCGUGGCUUCUCCGAAAAACCGGAGUUACUAUUCACUUAAGUGAAAACUAAAAAUCGCGUAUCUUCUCCGUUUUAGCUCAGUUUCUCCUGAAACUUGACGAGUGCUUAUAUAAUUAAAUUACACACAUAAACAUCAUUAACAGAGAGUUUAGUAGCACUGUCAAAAAUCUCAGUCCUUACAAGUUGGUUAGAAUAGAGCAUGAUAGUGUAGGGACAUGUAGCUGUAGAUUGUCUUCCAGCUUUCCUACUAUCUUUACUUCCUUCUGUAGACUUAAUGGGUGGACCGACGAUGUUGAGGGCGGCAUCCAUUGAGGACUACUUGUUUUACAGUAGUUCUCACGCCCUGUUGUUACCCUUCUUUUGCAGAGCCAUCGGUUCCGGCUGCUGCAUCUUCUGAGGCCGAUCGUGGCAAAGGCGUUGCGAGCUAUAGCCCUACCCGACGAGUUGCUGAGAUAGAGGAUCCCUACUGCAGGUAGAUUUACUUUUGUUCGAGUUCAUGUACAUACAGAUGUUAUAACUCGCUGGGGCGAGCCCUUUUUGUAUCUGGAUAUUAUGUAUGUAUAUGGAACUCGCUUUUGUUUUACUUGUUCUUUUCUUUCUAGCAGUUCUAUACUACUGGUUGUAGUGUUGUUUGAUUACGGUUUCAGUACAGCUUCGCUUCGUAUACAGGGAAAACUCCUUCGUAUACGGCGGGUCUGUUGGCGUGCCCGGAGAAACGUGUAAUCUGGGGCGUGACACUUUUAGGUUGAGUGGAUAAUUCAAAAUAUGAAACUAAAUUUUGAUUUAUUCAAAUUCAAACUUAAAAUUACAAUUUAAAUUUUAAUUUGAAAUUUAAUUUAAGUUUGAAAUAAAAUUUGAAUAAAACUUUAUACCAAAUUAAAAUUUAAUUUAAAUUCAAAUUCAUAAGUUAGAUUCGAAAUACUUGAUUAAAUUUUAAUUUUUAAUUUAAGUUCAAAUUAAAAUUUAAAAUUAUAUAUUUAAUUUUUAAAUUUUAACUCAUAUUUUAAUUAAAAAAGUUGAAAAAAUAAAUUUAAUCUGAAUAAAUAUCCAUUCCGUCCAGAUUCAACUUCCAAUCCGGCCUUCUAGGCCGGAUUGAAAAAAGAAGUGAUUGGGGGAUUCCCAUUCCACUCGGGAAUCGGAAUGGGAAUGGAACUCCUGCAUACCAAACACCCACAAACGUAUUCACCCAUUCCGAUUCCGAUUCCAAGGUGAAAAAGAAGCGAACCAAACACACCUACAGUGUCUGUAAAUUUUUGCCCUGCUGACUGUAUGGUUUUGAGUAAAAAGACCAUGACUACAAAAUGUAGUAUCAUUGUGAAUAUGCAUUUAUUUAGAUUCAUUACUUCUUUUUUAUCUUUAGUCUGUGUUUGGUUCGGAUAUAAGUAAGAACUGUUUGUUCUAGUAAUAAGUACAAGUUCAGGUAUAAACAUGAACUAAGCCAACUUUGUGUUUGGAUGAAAGUUUGGUUGUUCUUAGGAAUAAGAUAAAUAGUAUUUGGAUGGUUAGAUUGGAAUAAGAGGAAUAAGAGUUAUAAUUUGAACUUAAAAUUAUAUUAUCUAAUUAAUUAACAUCAAAAUAUUACUUAAAAAUAAAUAAUAACUAAAUUAUUAAUAAUUAAUAAUANUCGAUAUCUACUUGUUUUUUUAUGUUCAGGGAUAUGGACAGAAGUGAAGACAUGAAAUCCCAGCUCAUCACAAGUUCAUAAAUCCCCCACAUUCAACAUUUAAAUCAUUUUUUGAUCCACUUAUUCUCUCUCUCUCUCUCUCUCUCUCUCUCUCUCUCUUAAUGGGUCUGUUUCCUGUGUCACCAACUAAUCUCUAUUGAAGUUUCCCAAGGGAAAAUCCUGAUCCACUUGAUUUCACAGAGGGAGUAUCCUUCAAUAGGAAAUUUUCUUAUCCUAUAAUCAUAGAAAUUUAAAUAACACAACAAGAAUUAAAGUGUUCAUUAGUACAGACCUGCUAUUAUUCAAAUUAGUAAAUAAUUUUUUCAAUAAAGUUCAAAAGAUUUGAUAAAGAUACAUAAUAAAUCAUUAAAAUAUUUUAUUGUUAAAAAAAAUAAAUAUUUCACGCCAUUUUGUGCCGGCAUACAUGUAUUUUUUAUAACCGGCACGUAUCGACACUGUCCGACACGCACCGUACCGGCAAGUUUCCAGCACGACUCCGUGCAACGACACUUAAAUCAAUGUAAUAGACUAUCAGAAAUGAAAAUUUCUUAUUCUAUGAAAUAUAUUUUUAGAUAACAGGCUAUAGGAAAUGAUACAGUUAGCAGUACAUUUUUUGUUUAAUUUUGAUAUUCAGAAUUUUUCUGCACACGCUCUUCGACUCACUAUCCAUCAAAUGAAAAGAUCAAAUAACCACCUUCUCUUUUUUUGGCUGACAGUUGAAUCACCGCAAUUGGUGGAGAUUGGUCUUCCAUUUUAGAUGGAUGUCAAGAUCAGGAGUGUACAGAAAAAAAUGCACGUAAGGUUGCAGGAGAUCUAUGCCUGAUUCGAUCAUCCUCAUUCUAUGAAGUUUUGAAAUCGACUCCCAACUGAAUAACUUUUAAGAGAUUAGCAGAGAUGUGAGCCAGGAGGAUCUCAAGACCAAGCAGAAAAACACCAGACACAGAACUGCAGGAAAUCUAUGGCCGGAUUGAUCCCCACGGUAAUAUGAAAGCAACAUAAGUUGGAAAUUCAAAAAUAAAUAUGAGGAGACCAUAUCAUUUGCAUAUAUAAAACAACAGUCUCCACUAUAACAGCAUUGGAACAAUUGCUACAAGUUCAGAGAUUUCAAGGUUAACAAGUUUCUACUUGCGAAAAAAGAGGGGGGAAAGUACUAAACACCCAGGAAGAUCAAUAUAAGGGAUUAAGGCAUGGACAUCUUUAUGGUACAAAGAACAAUUACCAAUCAAAGAAGAGAAAUGGUUCAAUCAUCACAGAUUUUGAAAAAAGGGGGAAAAACUUAACAAAAUAAACACCUUUAAUACAAGGAAGGAAACACGAUAAAGCGACUAUAAAGGUAUAGGAGUUAAGCAUGUUAGCAAAGCAGCAGAGAGCUUACUCCCCUCCUGUUAGAGCGGAGCUAAGCCAAUCUGAAGCUGAGGAUUGGAUCUCAGAUUCCACAUACAAUUGCAGAUGUAUAGGAGUGACAGAUAUCUGCAUAUUAUUGAACAGACAAUUAUUCAGAUUUUCAAGGGAGAGAGAGAGAGAGAGAGAGAGAGAGAGAGAGAGAGAGAGAGAGAGAGAGAGAGAGAGAGAGAGAGAGAAUUAAAGAGGGUUAUAAUCUGUUCUAUUACAUUCUAGUUUUUUUUUUCUUUUGCUAAUAGCAUAAAUUUUGAGAGAAAAAAACUUAAUUUAAUAGCCGAAUUUUUAAUUGAUGAACGUAUAAUAUAAUAUGCGUAUAAAUUAUGUAUCCAAAUAAUUGGCGCAUCUAUGUUUUAGCCGCAUUUUUCAACGAAUUUAAAAAUUAGAAGGCAAAUUUUAUCCGAAUUAUAUCCAUACCGAAUUUUUGCCGAAUCCGAAUUAACUAACUAUGGUGCCGGCAAUAGCGAAGAAGGGAAGAGAAGAGAGAGAAAACUCCUUCUCUCUCCUAAUUAUUAAUAAUAAUAAUCCAUACGUAUACAUGAUUUCUCAUAAAUUUUUACCAUGUGACAGCACUAUAGUCUCUCAUUUUCAAAAUUUCUAUUCUUCAAUCACAACGACCGCUCGCCUUCCUCGCAACAUCUACCUCUUUGACUUUCCGUCUCAUUAAUUCGUUCCUUGUAACGUCUGCCUCUUUGGCUUCCCAUCUCAUUAAUUCCUUCCCCGUAACAUCUGCCUCUUCAGCUUUCCGUCUCAUUAAUUCCUUCUCUGUAACGUCGCUGCUUCCACUUUCUGUCUCAUUAGUUUCUAUUUUCUAAGAGGCGUUGACUGAGAAGCCCGUGGGCACGGCAUACUGCGUCCUCGACAACGACCUCGCCUACUACGUCCGCUCCAACCUCAAGCCCCGCAGGCGCCGCCCUCGCUCUCGCCAUCAAUGUUGGGUGAAUCGAUAACCCUAGCCCCCAACCCUUCUCCCACGAUCUCGAUCACUUAAAUUUGUAAUGUAUAGUUAUGCAAAAGGAUGCGUAUCCUUCUCCUCUAAUAGCCUCAGAGGACGAAAAGUAUCGGCUAAAAUAUAGACUUGCCGAAAAGGGGUUGAAGGUACAAUAAUACUUCAUGAAAUCAUUCAGUGUUAGUAAAAAAAUACCCUAAAUGAGGAUAUAAAGGGAUUCAAUUUCUAUGUAACAAUUUUUUUUUCUCCUAUAGUUUUUUUUAUCUUUUGUUGUUUUUCAUUGAAUUAUAAUUCUAUUCUAAAUUUUAAAGUAUUGUUUAUAUUAUAAAAUUUAAUCAAAUAUAAUUAUAUUCGCUGUAUCGUACGGAUUUCUACACUAGUAAUAAUAAUAAAAAAAUAUUUUUUAUAAUUAUUUUGGCUAACUUAGUUUAGAAAAUAUAAAUAUAUGAACCCCUCUUCUCUGCCGACGUUUGCCCUCUCCUCAGCCGCCGGCCUAGGGACGCCACCAAGGUCUUUUUCUAGUGUUGAAGGGCGGGGAAGGGGGCGGCGGCAUCCUUUCUUCUCCGAACCUUGCUUUUUUUUUUAAAAUUAAAGUUGUCCAUAUAAAACAUCAAAACAUAAAAAUUAAAUUAUGUUCUAAUAAAUAUAAAAAAAUAAAAAUUAUAGAAAGGUUCAUCCUUGUCACGCCCCGGGGUCCCUUUAGGUUAAAAACACAGCGGGAAUUUUUUUUUUUUUUUUUUUGCAAAUCUGACCCCAGGGUAUGCCAGAUCCGCCACAAAUACAGGGAAUCCACUGUUCACACGGACAAAGUCUCCCCUGUAUUUGCACGGCGUCGCACAAGUACAAGAGUAUAGCCAGGAAACAACCACAACCAAAUGAAUAUAAAGAUAGCUAUACAUUCAUACAUUCACCAUUCACAUCACAGUUUUACAUUCGGUGUUUAAAUAGAAAUUCACGAAAAUUCUUUUGAAAACUGUUCCCUACACGGAAACCUUUAUUCGUUAAAAACGCUACCACGAGGGGUAGAAAACCUUUUAUUUUACAAAAUCCAGAAAUCCACAUUUUCAAAUGUAAAUAAACACUGAACCACAUAAACCAACUAAACUAUUCAUCAGCCAAAAUAAGAAGGGUAAGAAAGUAAACCGAAUUAACCCGGGUCGAAAGCUCUAUCGACCGCUACACGCGUACCUCACGUCUCGUCCCACUACUCAUCGCCCACGAUACCUGAAAAAUGGUGGGGGAGGUGAGAACAUGUAAACAUGUCUCCCCUCCCAGUGGGUACCGCAAGCCGAAGAAGGCGAGGAGUACUCACCGGAUCAGGAAGAGAUAACCAACAGUAUGGGUAAGUAAAAUACAGUAGCAACGAUAAUGAACGAAUGAGAUAUAUAUAUAUAUAUAUAUAUAUAUGAAAACACGACUACCGCUACUGUAAUGUACAACUGCAAGCAUACAAGGAUAUCAAAACUAUAGUAGCAAGACUACUGUAAAGAAAGAACUAGAAGUACAUAUGCAACAACCGCUACUACAGCUAUAUGCGUCAACCGGACGAGAAGUCCAAAAGUACCCAAUCUAAACCGCCGUGUCGGUCUAAGGACCUCAGGCAAAAGCCACUAUCUGCUCACACCUGGCAUGUAACCCUAGCACAAAGAGAACACCGCUGGGCUCACGGGUCGGAUGUACGACCACUUUUCCGGAAAAGAACACCCUCCUGCGGGGGAUCAACCCGCUGGUGUACGUGAAAUGCACUCGAGCUGUGCCGAUCAAUGCGGAUAUGAUCAAUAGCCAACCGUCGGCAAUCAGCCGACAAGCACUGCCCCUCUGGGCAUACCGACCGUGUAGGUCAUCAAGUAACAACGUGAACCGACCGAGAUAGGUCCAUGUACGGAAAGUAACGAACGACCAAACAGGUCACCGAUGCAAAUAGGAGAACCGACCAACCAGGUCACAAGUAUAGUAUAUACGAAUGCCGUCUACUCUACCCCUAUACAGGAUACUACACAUAGAACAACUAGGCAGAGUAAAUAAAGAUAGUAUGAAGAUACUGCUCGAUGUCAACUAAAAGUACGAACGCAAGAACCGACCGCUAGGUCACAGGAGUGUAUUCGAUAUAAUCCAGAACUACCGUCAGCACCAGCCGACAAUCCUACCCCUCAGGGUACACCGACCUCAAAGGUCAUCGAACGACAGAAGUCAAGAAAUAGACCAACCCACUACAUAAUGCAACAACCGACCAACCAGGUCAACAGAUAUAAGAUAAAAGCACCGAUCAGCUAGGUCACCGAUAUCACAUAUGGAUAAACUACUCUACUCCUACACAUGAUACUAGGCAUAGAAACAUAUGAGUAGAGUAUAAUAGAAACAACGGGGAUGCAAGCUCAGUAUAUAAUACGAAAAUAGUAACAGAAGAACAGGGAUAGAAGAAAUAUCACCGAGCGUGCACCACUGUACCGACUUCGGAUCGAAGUACCCACCUGUACAACUGUCGCGCCUGUCUCCUGACUGCAAAAGAACGUCAACCGGACCUAAAGAGGGUCCACUGGGUUAGUGUCUAACCCACAGCUAAGAAACCCUAAAAGCAUAACCCACAAACAAUCCCCCGGAGAUCGGUUUCCCAAUACCGAUUACCGUAACUCGCCGGAAGUCCCGAGAAUCGCACCGGGACUCCGCCGGGACCCACUAACUAUCCCGGAAGGCACCGACUCAUGCCACGAGUCAUUCGCUGCCACUAAACACUUAUUUUAGUGUGACAAGGCAGCAAACACAAGGAUACACAACCAAACAACUAUUGGUGGAUAAUUGUUGGGAUCCGGGUUCCCGGAAGUGUCUAUUUCGACACCGGAACCCACCGUCACUCACCCGCCAUUUCUGAACUCUCGAAAUGAUACGAGUGACCAGCCAAUAAGGCUCAGCGACCACACAAUAGCUCACGAAGCACCGUCGGAAUAAUUCCGAACCAAAACCGCGUUCCGUCGACGGAUUUUGCCGACAAACGCACCGGAAAUACAUUUUCGAUCUUCGCAAAGGUCCGGGGCCUUGGACCAUCAGUCCAGAGGUCACCCACAGCUCACCCAUGCUGCCAACAGUAGCUACGACAAAUCAAAUUGCAUAAAAGCCCUCCCGAUUACCCGAAAUCGCAUUAUUUCAUGCGAUUUCGGCGCUUUUAUGGUCCGUCUACACAAACCAGGAGUCAUGCAGCCAAACCGAGACACCUACUGACAGGUCUUGACGUGCCGGAGGCCGUGCUCACCUUUCGGAGCAAUUCCGACCACUGUGGAGGGCGCGCGCAUGAAGCGAACUUCAGCUAAACAGCGCGCAUGGUAUCUAAAUCGCGUCUAACACGCAAACCGGGGAACCGUUGACCCCGAUGGAGGUGAGAAUGAUGCUCAGCACGGAGUAACGAUGUUCGUGCUCACUUCCACUGUCAUCGGGGUACCUUCAGAUCGCCCGAAAGGUGACCGGAACCCUAAACUACAGUGCUGGAACCUAAAACAGUAGCAUACCGGAGCUAGGCAGGGCUCGGGGUGGUCGGCGGCGGCCGGACAGCGGCCAGGCCGGCCAGGGGAAGGUGCUCCAGGUCAGAGGAGGCCGGGGCUCACAUUAACAGGCGACGGGAGGCGGGGGCGACGGCGGGCAUUGAUGCCCUAGCCACCUAACCCGAGGAGAGAACGGCCCAGAACCGGCCAACAGAGAGCUCCGGCAACAGCGAGGCCGGCGGCGGACGGGUGUGGCCGGCCAGGCGGAGCCGAUGCUCACACCGGCCGGCGGCGGAAGGCGGCGACGGCGGUGCUGGGCGUGGCUCAGCCUGCACAGUCCAUGCGCGGCCGCAGGGAGAGGGAGCGGCGGCCGAAGGCCACGGAGACGGCUGGGGGGAGCUCCGGGCGACGGCGAGCGGUCGUCGGAGGCCGGCGGGAGGCGGCCUGGCUGAUCCUAGACAGCGGCGACGCGGGGGAGAGAGAUCUGGCCAACCACGGCCAGAUCUCGCUCGGGCUGGCCGCAAACAGUAGGAGCGGCGGCGGCGGCCACGCUGGCCGGACGCAGAGGUGCCGGCGGUCACGAGGGAGAUCGCCUAUGAGGUCCCAGGCGGCGGCGAUCCCAGGAGGCAGAGGUCGCGCCGGCUCGGCCCGCUCUGGGUCUGGGCGACUUCAGCGCGUCCUGGCGGCGCCGGCGACGCGCGUGGACGGCGGGGCCGGCGGGUAUGUCGUCGGAAGGGAAGCCUCGGCCGGAGAACUCUGGUUCGACGCAAAAGGAUGCUUUCCUGGGAUUCACGGCCUAAGAAGCAGAACCCGAAGGAGAGGAGAACACUAAAAGGCCUACUCCGGUGGCCGGAAGUGCUCGCCGGCGGCCAGAGUGCGAGCGGCUAGGAAGGGGAAGGUUUCAGAGGAUGCAAAGAGGUCGGCUGAGGGAGAAGAUGAAUCAAAGUUAGGGUUUUCCCCACGAAACCCUAGUGCAACUGCUAAUUACAAAUGCACAAUUGCAAGAUAGUCCUCCCAGGGAUGAAAUUGUCAGUCAAGUCCCUCACAUCAUGCGUAUUUUACACAUACGCACCUCCAUGUCCGAUCUCACGCAAUUCGGCACAUAAAAUAUAACGACUUUUGUGAAUUUCCCGAUUUCCACUCACGACCCCUUAGCGAACAACAUGCAAUAUCCGGCAAUCCGUUCUUCGGAUUUCCGAACGGAUCGCACCAUCGCGUUCAGCACAACGAGGGCAUCCAAACUACCAUCUUGUUUCGUCAGAUCUGGUCACGGAUUCGCGACGGAACCCACCCGCUCUCUAAUUAGUCCGUAUAUCGCGCAUAUACCGAAGUAUAAACCCUAAAACCUAUAAUCCAAAUUCAAAUUUGAAUUCCCUACCACCAGUAGGUACCAGAAACAACUCUCACCUAAUCCCAGGUCACGAGCACAGAGCACGAGGAGUUUUAAAAUGCACGAAUAGCAAAGAACGGAAACCCUCUUUUUGUUAAAUAUCGUAGUACUACCACUAUGAACAUUUUCAUAGUAUCGAGUUGAGAUAUAAAUAUAUAUAUAUAUAUCUCAACCUGACCUGAUGAUAAUCAUCGUUUUACGAUAGUCCAAAAAUCGGGAAUCUAGUUAAGAAAAAUAAUAAAAAUUGGUAACCUAAUUUAUGAUAUUGGGUCACCUCCGGUGAGUUGAGAUCCCCCUGGUAAAUUGAGAUUCACUGAUAAUAGUAGGAUUAGGAUGUUAAAAAGUAGGUUCCCAAUUUUUGAACUAUUAUUUUACUCACAAAAUGAUAAUUAUCAUAAAGUCUGAUUAAAAUAUAUAUAUAUAUAUAUAUAUAUAUAUAUAUAUUUCAACACGAUCUUAUGAUAGCCAUCAUUUGCUCGGCAAAAUGAUGGCUAAAUAAAAGCUACUAUCACGAAGGUUUAACUACUAGCCGAGGCAAUUUAUACUAGAUUUGGUAAAUUUGAUAAAUUUUCAGUUUAAAGUGUGUGAAAGCUAUAACUGUUACUUAUGAGAAAUUUUUUACUACUAUCCUCAGAACAUUAGUUCUAGUUCUUAUAUCUAGAACAAAAUUUAUCAAAUUUUUUAAAAGAUUGUCUUUAAGUUAACUAAACCUAUAGAAAUGCGGCAAUUUGCUCUUUUGCGGAGAAUAGCUGGUAAUUUUAAUGUUUAAAACUUUGGGAAACUAGUAAUCCGUUUACUACAGCUUUUCUAAACUUUAAACUAAAGAUUUGUGAAGUUCACCAUAUCUAGUAUAAGUUGCCUCGGCUAGCAGUUAAACUUUCGAGAUAGUAGCUUUUGUUUAGCUAUCAUUUUGCCGAGCAAAUGAUGGCUAUCAUAAGAUCUCAUAUCAUCGGGAUCGGAGAGAGAGAGAGAGAGAGAGAGAGAGAGAGAGAGAGAGAGAUAUAUAUAUAUAUAUAUAUAUAUAUAAGAUGAAUAAAUUGAAACCUAGCCCGGAUCUAUAAAUUCAAUUAUUAUAUAGGUAGCUUAAAUAAGCCUAAAUAAACUUGCCUAGAUCUAUCACUAAUAGAUAUAUGAGAAGCGAAUUCUGGCUUAUACAUAGCCUAAAUUUAGUCUCAUACCUAUGUGGAUCAGAUUAUUUUAAGCAAGUUGUAUUUCUAACUUCGUCAUUUGUAGAUCCUUAUUUUUUUAUUUUUUCUCAUUUAUCUAAUCCUAAAAAUGACCUUACUUUUAUGUGUUAUUCAGGAGAAUUUUAAUUAGAGAGUUGAAAUUUAAAAAAUAACUGAUAACCUAUAAGGCGGCCCAGAACCAGGACCCAGGCAUAUACAUUUGAAAAAGCUUAGGAUAGGUAAUUUUACAGUCCAACUUUAGCCCAGGUUUAGCCCAUACUCAUAUUAUAUAGGUUUAGGUAUAGGCUUUGAAAUUACCUAUUAUAAAAUGGGUAUAGGAUAGAUAAAAAAUAGUUCACGCCAAGCCUAGGUCCAUCCCAGACCCAUCCCAGGCCCAUACCCUAUAGUCCAUAAAACUUGGUGAAAUCCAGGUUGAAUACGAUGUCGUAGUAUUAGAAAGUAACCGUUUCUUUCGUGAUGUUAACCGACGAUUAUUGCGGUAGAAAGCGGUAAGGAGCUUACCAACUACUUGAAGGUGGAGUGUCUUAGAUUGUGUUGGUAACGUUACGGAAGUGGGAAAGACAAAUCAAAUUUAGGUGUGCUUUUCCAAAAAUUUGUUUAUUCUUUUUCUAGUAUGUUUCACCUUCAAAGUCUUACCACUAAGAUAAAUAAAUUUUCACGUUGUUGUACUCACUAUUAAUGAUUUAUGUACUACCAUAGAAAUUUUACCGUGUUCACGCGGAUGAUCUUAUUGUAGUUCUAGUAAACUUUAAGCUGCGGCCUCGAAGAGAUAUUCCUUGUUUAAAAACAAACUAUUAUUACUAUGAAGUGUAAUGGAGUCUUGUCAAUAAACCGGGAUGUCCGAGAGAGUCUGUUACGCUAUAGCGGCGCUGUCGUCGAAGUUAACUACUUAGGAGAGGGACAGGGUUGUUACCUCUCUCUUAAAAAGAAAUUUUUUCUUUUUGUGUUGAUUUAAGUCUUUGAAUCAACACGACACCUACUAUUUUGGAAAAGAAAGGUCAUCUUGUACAAGGGCAUGAAGGGGCGCUCCGCUGAGGUUUUUGAAGCUCCGUGCAGGUUUAGCUGGCUGCGUGGUUACAAUUUUAAAUAAUACAACGGACGCUUUUCACAGUCAUAGUCGUGUAGUAGUCUCUAGAGUUCCUCCUCCUCUUAAGGGUUUGAAGCUUCUGCUAAAUAUAGAGAAUGGCUUUCAACCUAGUCGCUGUUUGUGUUAACAAGAUAGUAGUUGAACGGUUUUCAGAAAUUAUCGAUUGGGACUCGUCCCCCUCUUCCUUUGUUUCAUUUCGUAGUUACCUCCCCUUUCAUUGUCGCGCCGUUUUGUUUAUUCUUCAAAACAAUGGAGAAAGCAGCCGCGUGGUAUUUACAAUCAAUCACUUAGUCUAGUCAUUCACCUCCUCUUGAUUUGAAUGCUAUGCUAAAUACAAAUUAGAAAAAAUCAUAAACUUUUGAAUGGACCACAUAGUCCUAUCAAAACACGUUCUUAAGAAUCAAAUUUAGGUCAUAGGAAGAGGUCUAGAUGAUAGAGAACUGUGUCUGCGAAAAGGACAAAUAUGUUUUUUGUCUUUUUAGUUACUUUAUUUUACAUGUUAUUAUUAGAUGUUGGGACAUUAUUGAUGACUUCGUGUGUUAGUAAAGCUGUACAACCCAGAGAGAUAUAUAAACUAUUUGAUUUUGUACUCCUUACAUGUUGUUUUCUUCGUAUAAAAGGUGCUUGUAAGGCAGCUUUGAGUCGUAAGAUACAAAAGUCGUAGGUAAGUUGACAUUUUAGCUAGACGGGGUUGUGUGGCUAGCAGCCCUCAAUAUAAGCGCUACAAAGUAUACAAAGUCUAGUAUAUUAAUUGUGAAUAAGAUGGCUUAACACAUCACAUUUAGCCAUUUGACUACUCUUAUUAAGUGUGGACUGGACGUCUCUCUUUGGGCGGUUGUAGUUACUGUCCUCACUUAAGGAAUCCUUCGUUAAGACCAAACAAUUGGGGUUGGAAGCGUAGUUGACGCCGUUGUGGAUGUUGUGGAGAUGAAGUACAGUCUUCUUCCUGUUAUGUAAUUAUUAUACGGACGAAGACGAAAGCUUCGAGUUUUAGAGCAAAACGAAGGGCGGCGUCGUCGUCUUCGACGUCUUAAAAGAAAAAGUGGUUGUGAGAUAUUCUCGACGACGACGACGACGACGACGACGACUUCCGUCUUAGGUUUCCUCCUGGUUUGUCCAUGGGUUUGGUACGAAAGUUCAAAGUUAAGGUAAUCUUUUUUUUUUUUUUUUUUCCUUAAUUAGGUCGAAUUUUGUAUUUAAUAAUCCUCUGGAAAGAAAAAUUGUUAUUGGGAAUUUUUUAAUAUUAAACGGUUCAUUAGAAACGUUUUUUAAUAAACCGUUUGGUUGAGAUGAUACAGGUUGAGUCCCGGUACCACCUCCUUCUAUAUUUUCUGUCAUUUAGCAAGUGGCAGAAAUGACUUUUGUCACUUAGUAAGUGAUAGAAAUCUUCCUUUACGCCACUGAAUAAGUGGCAAAAACUUUAUUUUUCUCUUUUUACUACUUAGUAAGCAACAAAAAAAUUUUAGGUUUGUACCAUUUGCUAAGUAACAAAAGGAUUUAAAGAUGUGGGUUACACCGUAACAGCACCGCUUUUAUUCUGAUAAAUCUAAGUAUUUAAAAACAACACUAAUAAACUGGUUUAGAUUUUAAAAAU
rnacentral:lncRNA from 1 species